UGGGGAAUAUUGGACAAUGGGCGAAAGCCUGAUCCAGCAAUGCCGCGUGAGUGAUGAAGGCCUUAGGGUUGUAAAGCUCUUUUACCCGGGAUGAUAAUGACAGUACCGGGAGAAUAAGCUCCGGCUAACUCCGUGCCAGCAGCCGCGGUAAUACGGAGGGAGCUAGCGUUACCCGGAUUUACUGGGUGUAAAGGGCGUGUAGGCGGUCUUUCAAGUCCGAUGCUAAAGUCCAAGGCUCAACCUCGGGAA
rnacentral:rRNA from 1 species